GAUGAAACGCUAGCGACAGGCUUAACACAUGCAAGUCGAGGGGCAGCAUGAUUUGUAGCAAUACAGAUUGAUGGCGACCGGCGCACGGGUGAGUAACACGUAUCCAACCUGCCGUCUACUCUUGGACAGCCUUCUGAAAGGAAGAUUAAUACAAGAUGGCAUCAUGAGUCCGCAUGUUCACAUGAUUAAAGGUAUUCCGGUAGACGAUGGGGAUGCGUUCCAUUAGAUAGUAGGCGGGGUAACGGCCCACCUAGUCUUCGAUGGAUAGGGGUUCUGAGAGGAAGGUCCCCCACAUUGGAACUGAGACACGGUCCAAACUCCUACGGGAGGCAGCAGUGAGGAAUAUUGGUCAAAUGGGCGAGAGCCUGAACCAGCCAAGUAGCGUGAAGGAUGACUGCCCUAUGGGUUGUAAACUUCUUUUAUAAAGGAAUAAAGUCGGGUAUGGAUACCCGUUUGCAUGUACUUUAAUGAAUAAGGAUCGGCUAACUCCGUGCCA
rnacentral:rRNA from 1 species